rnacentral:rRNA from 1 species
GAUGAACGCUGGCGGCGUGCCUAAUACAUGCAAGUCGAGCGAACAGACGAGGAGCUUGCUCCUCUGACGUUAGCGGCGGAGGGGUGAGUAACACGUGGAUAACCUACCUAUAAGACUGGGAUAACUUCGGGAAACCGGAGCUAAUACCGGAUAAGAUGUUGAACCGCAUGGUUCAACAGUGAAAGACGGUCUUGCUGUCACUUAUAGAUGGAUCCGCGCCGCAUUAGCUAGUUGGUAAGGUAACGGCUUACCAAGGCAACGAUGCGUAGCCGACCUGAGAGGGUGAUCGGCCACACUGGAACUGAGACACGGUCCAGACUCCUACGGGAGGCAGCAGUAGGGAAUCUUCCGCAAUGGGCGAAAGCCUGACGGAGCAACGCCGCGUGAGUGAAGAAGGUCUUCGGAUCGUAAAACUCUGUUAUUAGGGAAGAACAAAUGUGUAAGUAACUAUGCACGUCUUGACGGUACCUAAUCAGAAAGCCACGGCUAACUACGUG